AGCGAACGCUGGCGGUAGGCCUAACACAUGCAAGUCGAACGGCAGCACAGUACGAGCUUGCUCUUAUGGGUGGCGAGUGGCGGACGGGUGAGGAAAAUAUCGGAAUCUACUUUUUCGUGGGGGAUAACGUAGGUAAACUUACGCCAAUAUCGCAUAUGCCCUACGGGUGAAAGCAGGGGAUAUUUGGACCUUGCGCGAUUGAAUGAGCCGAUGUCGGAUUAGCUAGUUGGCGGGGUAAAGGCCCACCAAGGCGACGAUCCGUAGCUGGACUGAGAGGAUGGUAGGCCGCACUGGAGCUGAGACGGGGUCCAUGCUCCUACGAGAGGGAGCAGUGUGGAAUAUUGGGCAGUGGGGGCGAGCCUGGUCCAGCGGUACCGCGUGGGUUGAAGAAGCGUUCGGGUUGGAAAGCCCUUUUGUUGGUAGAGAAAAGCAGCAGGUUAAUACGCCGCGGUUCUGACGGUACUCAAUGAAUAAGCACCGGCUAACUACGUG
rnacentral:rRNA from 1 species